AUGGCUCGGUCAAGAUGGAGUCUUGCGAGCAGCGAGCUUUCGGUCAUCCCUGUGCGGCGUGGAGAGCGGCGGUGCUUUCCUGGUGAUGCCGGCCUGGGAUUUCUCCGUGGAGAGGCGGGUCUGAUUGUCGCAAGGUCGUUCCUUGGAGUGGGCGACGGCCGUUGCGGGCAGUCCUGGACCUGGCCGGAGGUGCUGGUUGGCUGCGGACCCUCGUGCAGGCUGGGAGUGGAUGUGUGGCCGCGGUUUCCCUGCCGGGUGGUCGGUCGUUGGUCCUCGGCUAUGCAGCUACUUCGGCAAGUGCUGCGGUGGCGGCGGUGUGAGGCUUCUUGGCAGUGCUACCAAUCCCAUGGAGGCGUGGUGAUGGGCGAAGCGCGGAUGAAAAUUUUGCACGGCUUCUGCCGGGCCGACGGUGAUGGCAUCUGUGGAUGUCAUUCCCCUCCUUGGAGGCAUUGUCGAGCGUGUUCGCCUCAUCCCUCGCGCUCUCGGUGUUGGUGGAUGUCUCCGGGUGAAAGCCUAGAUUCGAUGUUCUGA
rnacentral:rRNA from 1 species